AUACCAGCACCCCGAGUGGUCGGGACGAUUAUUGGGCCUAAAGCAUCCGUAGCCGGUCUUGCAAGUCUUCCGUUAAACCCACCUGCUUAACAGAUGGGCUGCGGAAGAUACUACAAGACUAGGAGGCGGGAGAGGCAAGCGGUACUCAGUGGGUAGGGGUAAAAUCCUCUGAUCCAUUGAAGACCACCAGUGGCGAAGGCGGCUUGCCAGAACGCGCUCGACGGUGAGGGAUGAAAGCUGGGGGAGCAAACCGGAUUAGAUACCCGGGUAGUCCCAGCUGUAAACGAUGCAGACUCGGUGAUGGGCCGGCUUCAUGCCGGCUCAGUGCCGCAGGGAAGCCGUUAAGUCUGCCGCCUGGGGAGUACGGUCGCAAGACUGAAACUUAAAUGAAUUGGCGGGG
rnacentral:rRNA from 1 species